CUGUGUCAGUGAUAAGUCAGACUGUUCUCUGCCUUCAUGGUGCUCAGGAGGGGGCAGCCACACAGACACUUCCCGUACACGGUGGGCAGUGUGUGAUGCAGGCAGAGAAGGGACUGAAGGGGCACAGAAGAGGGACCUCGCCCAGCUUGGCAAAGUUGGGAAGGCUUCCUGGAGGGGGUAAAGCAGCAGUGGGCCAGAUUGGCAGGCCCCAGGCUGGAUUGAGGCUCAUUCUCUGCCUUCAUUCUCUCUGUCACUUUGCACUUAACCUUGACUCUUUAUGUUUCCGUCUCCCACAUUAGACUGUACCUAUUGAGGACAGGUACACAUCUUACUUAUAUUGGGAUCCCAGACACUCAGUUCAGGGCCUGGCAUAAGCCGAUGGUCUAUAAAUACGUAUCACACGGCUGGAAGGAUGGCUGGAUGCCAGAACAAGAAAACUGAAGGGAAGCUGAGGGGGACUGGUGCUAUCAGCCAGACUGACUGAGCCAAAGGAACCCAGGCCGGAGAAGAAAACCAAUAGCAGUGGCUGCCUCAGUGGAAGAAAACGGUGUAGUUAUGGAGCAGGAGUGAGAGGGAGACUAACUCUGUGCCAUUUGCAUCUUUUGAACUUGGAAUCACAUAAGUAAUGGAUGAAAUGAAGGAAUUGAUGAAUGCACUGGUAGAACAUCCCAGAUGAAGAGGCAGGCUGUGGCCCCACCCAGCAUCUUAUAGGUAAGGCUUCUGAGGCUUGGACAGGGAGGGAGAUGUAUUAUCAGGGGUCGUUGCUUGCAAGUAACAGAAUACCAACUGAAACCAACUUUAGAUAAAUGAGGAGCAUGUACCCUCUCAUAAAUUAUGGUAAGGGUGAAACAGGAUUUUGAGAUGUUCGGAACCGAGAACUCAAACAUCCUCUUCAUACUGGCUUCCGUUUCGCAGACCACUUUCUCCAUGAGUUUGGGGGCCUGGCUGUUGGCAGCUUUAUGGUCCCGUCCUUAGAAUUUUGCAAAUGGGGACAGAAGAGCUGCAGUUGGAAAAGAGAGCCCCAGAGAAGCAUUCCAAGGGAUCCGAUUUGGGACGUGCUGUCCCCUUGACAAAUCACUGUUGGAGGGUGGCAGCUCCCAGCUAGAGAAGAAACAAUUCUCCCAAACACAUGGGGUAUCAUGGCCAGGACCACCAGGGGAAAUCACUGUAAGCUUGGAGGCCACCCCAAUUUAU